CUUUUAUGGAGAGUUUGAUCCUGGCUCAGGAUGAACGCUGGCGGCGUGCCUAAUACAUGCAAGUCGAGCGAAC
rnacentral:rRNA from 2 species